UCUGGUUGAUCCUGCCAGUAGUCAUAUGCUUGUCUCAAAGAUUAAGCCAUGCAUGUCUAAGUAUAAAUAGUAUACAGUGAAACUGCGAAUGGCUCAUUAAAACAGUUAUAGUUUAUUUGAUAAUUGACAAUUACAUGGAUAACCGUGGUAAUUCUAGAGCUAAUACAUGCUUAAACGCCCGACUUUAUGGAAGGGUGGUAUUUAUUAGACUGAAGCCAAUAUUCCUUGUGUCUAUUGCGGUGAUUCAUAAUAACUGAUCGAAUCUCUUUUUGAGAUAAAUCAUUCAAGUUUCUGCCCUAUCAGCUUUCGAUGGUAGUGUAUUGGACUACCAUGGCAGUAACGGGUAACGAAGAAUUAGGGUUCGAUUUCGGAGAGGGAGCAUGAGAAACGGCUACCACAUCUAAGGAAGGCAGCAGGCGCGUAAAUUACCCAAUCCUGACUCAGGGAGGUAGUGACAAGAAAUAGCAAACCGGGAACCUCAUGGUUUCACGGUAUUGCAAUGAGAACAAUUUAAAACCCUUAGCGAGAAUCAAGUGGAGGACAAGUCUGGUGCCAGCACCCGCGGUAAUUCCAGCUCCACUAGCGUAUAUUAAAGUUGUUGCAGUUAAAAAGCUCGUAGUUGAACCUCUGUCUGGGGCUAGUUUUGGCUUUGGUCAGGCUAGUUCUAGGCAUCCGCCUACAAGACUUAGAGGGCAUUCAGUUGUUCACUAGGAGGAGUAGGCAUUUUACUUUGAAAAAAUUAGAGUGUUUAAGGCAGGCAAUCGCCCGCAUAUAUUAGCAUGGAGUAAUAGAAUAGGACACUUUUCCAUUUCGUUGGUUAUUGGAAUCGUGUAAUGAUUAAUAGGGACAGUUGUGGGCAUUUGUAUUUAAUUGUCAGAGGUGAAAUUCUUGGAUUUAUUAAAGACAAACUAACGCGAAAGCAUUUGCCAAGGAUGUUUUCAUUAAUCAAGAACGAAAGUUAGGGGAUCAAAGACGAUCAGAUACCGUCCUAGUCUUAACUAUAAACUAUUCCGACUCAAUGUUUGACUGGCUUAUAUAACCAGUUGAGCGUUGUAUGAGAAAUCAAAGUCUUUAGGUUCUGGGGGGAGUAUGGUUGCAAAGCUGAAACUUAAAGGAAUUGACGGAAGAGCACAACCAGGAGUGGAUUCUGCGGCUUAAUUUGACUCAACACGGGGAAACUUACCAGGUUAAAACAAUAGUGGGAUUGACAGUUUGAGAGCGCUUUCUUGAUUGGUUGGGUGGUGGUGCAUGGCCGUUCUUAGUUGGUGGAGUGAUUUGUCUGCUUAAUUGCGUUAACGAACGAGACCUUAACCUGCUUACUAGACUGGCGAUCAUCAAUCGUUAGCUCUUCUUAGAGGGACUUUGGUUGUUUUAAC
rnacentral:rRNA from 1 species